AGAGUUUGAUCCUGGCUCAGAAUGAACGUUGGCGGCGUGGAUUAGACAUGCAAGUCGAACGGGUUUGGUAGCAAUACCAGACCAGUGGCGUAAGGGUGAGUAAGGCGACGGCAACCAACCCCAUGGUUGGGCAUAGCCGCGGGAAACUGCGGGUAAUUCCCAGCGAUGUUCGUACCGGGCAUCCGGUGUGAACCAAAGUUCUGGCGCCGUGGGACGGGCCGUCGUGGUAUUAGGUAGUUGGCGGGGUAAUGGCCCACCAAGCCUCUGAUGCCUACCGGGCGUGCGAGCGUGGCCCGGCACACUGGGACUGAGACACUGCCCAGACUCCUACGGGAGGCUGCAGUCGAGAAUCUUCGGCAAUGGGCGCAAGCCUGACCGAGCGACGCCGCGUGGAGGAUGAAGGCCUUCGGGUUGUAAACUCCUGUCGAGGGGGAGGAAGGGGUAACCUUGACCUAUCCCUGGAGGAAGCA
rnacentral:rRNA from 1 species